rnacentral:rRNA from 1 species
UACAGAGGGGGCAAGCGUUGUUCGGAAUUACUGGGCGUAAAGGGCGCGUAGGCGGCCUUCUAAGUCAGACGUGAAAUCCCCGGGCUCAACCCGGGAACUGCGUCUGAUACUGGAAGGCUUGAAUCCGGGAGAGGGAUGUGGAAUUCCAGGUGUAGCGGUGAAAUGCGUAGAUAUCUGGAAGAACACCAAAGGCGAAGGCAGCGUCCUGGCAAGUUCCUGACGCUCAGGUGCGAAAGCUAGGGGAGCGAACGGG